ACCUUCUUCAUGAGCUUCCUCCAAUUAUGACUCCGGCGUACACUGCCACUGUUAAUUUGUGUACAGUCUUCCUGAUCGGAGAGUGAAGAAGUCGACGUACAGUCAGAAACGUUAGAUAAUCGUCCUUCAAUGGAAGCGCUGCAGGUAAGGUUAAUUGUGGUGGCCAUCUUUUUUGGAGAGAGAAGAGUUCUUGUUUGUUGUGAAUUGUGAAUUGUGAAUUGAUGAAUGGAAGGUUAAUUAGUGGAAGAGGAGACUUUAUAGUUGGUGUAGAGGGGGUUUUUGGUAAUUCUGAAAGUGUGUAAUGUAGCUUUAAAUCUUAGGUGUAAAGAGGUCCGUUAGAACGUCAGUUGGCCAUCUUUACACAUAAUUUGUGGGACUCUGUAAUAUCUUGACUGGAUAUCUUGAGCCAUUAUUCUAAUUUUUCUUUUGUAUUGGAUUUUUAAAUGAGCCGACAAUGUUUUUCUCAAGACCAUUUAAUAAGUAUAGUAGUAUUAAAACUCUUAUCCUAAAGCUUCUACUUUAAUUAACAAAAGAACAUAGACUAUUCCGAAAGAGGUGUUCUCUUUGGUUUUUAGUCCAUGUGCAUACUCUAAACGUUCCAAGGGAAAUUUCGCUUUAAAUUUACAUCAUCUUUUACUCUUGAUACAAGCAGAAAACAAAUCGUUUGAUCUUAUCUUAUAAGGUAACUUUUAUAAAAGACAGAAACAAAAAGAUUAUUUGCAUUCGUCUUUUUCUUUGGAUGUCAUUGUUUGCCAAUUAUCCACUCAGAAUACAAGAAUGUUAAUUUUAUUUAUUAUGCAACUUUAUUCUUCGAAUAUUCAAGGAGUCGGUUGGCUUCAAAAGGAUUAACAAAAGGAUUAAGAACAUAUCACAUGACUUCACAUGGGAAGUGAUAUGCCUUUCUGAUUUUUUUUUUUUUUUUUUUUUUUUUUUUUNUUUUUUUUUUUUUUUUUUUUUUUUUUUUUUUUUUUUUUUUUUUUGCAAGAAAUUUAAUUGUAGUAUUUGGUUUUGAUUUUUUUCAUUCCGAUUUAAUUUUCGGUUAUAUGUGCAUUUUAUGUAUAAAUAUAUCUCACCUACACUUGCACAGUUGACACCAAAGUUUACUUUGGAUGCCUUAGUCUUCCUCCUCGGACUAUUGUUGUCUUCAAUAUUGUAUCACAUUAAUAUCCAAGUGGUAACGCCGAGUUCCAGAUGGUUAAUCUCCCAACCAUCUCCCAAAAAACAAAUAGAAGAAACAAGAAGGACGAGAGCAAUUUUCUUAUGAUAUUUCCAAAUGCAGCCACAUGAAUUAAAUAUAGUAGUUAGGUUCUAAAAUUAAGCAAAAAUGAAGGAAAACAUGGAAGGACUUAUUCAACUCUGAUAAAAUUGUGCUGGACUCUUUCUUUUUCAUGUUCCAUUCUGGUGCAAAGUUAUUCGUGGCACUUAAUUCUCAAGCGUGCCCUGCUAGUAAAAAGGGAUUGCUCCAUUUGAAAAUGGAUUUGGGCCUGACGGUCAACCUGUGUUGUAUAAAUGUCAUCUCCCUUACCAUUGACCUCCUCCUUGAGAUCAAAGACUAGAAAACGGAGUUGAAUUUCAUGUUUUCACUCCCAAGAGGCUUCUGAGUGAGGCUUGUUACUCAUUUAUUGAGGACAUGGUGAUCAUGUUGUGUGUGUUCUUUGUUUAGAUGGAGUCGGUAUUUAUAGUCAUCAUCUUCUAUGAUUGGAAAAUUGGUUGUCUAUAUUGUAUUUGAAUUGGAACUCAAUAUUUGAAUGUGAAAACGGGGUAGAUUGGUGCUUGAGCAGGUAACUCGGAAAGGUAUGAAACUUGACCAAAAUUCUCCAAGAUUUGAUAUGGCUCUAAAAACAUUUUGCAAGUUUCUAGUUAACACGGAUUUCCAUAGAAGAUUUGUAGUAGUUUCGUAGCUUUAAAUAAACAAAAAUCGCCCAUAAUGAAGUUCUUAUCUAGAUGGUGUUUGUUGGCUCGAGUGGUCAUUUUUUCUUGGACCUAGAUAAAGCCUCUUUGGUCAGCACGAUCACCUGUUGAUGUGCGAUGAAUGUAUCGCCGAUAUAAACAAGAAUAGUGUUGUCGGGUUUGUAUUCAUGAAUAGUGGUGGCGUCCUUGCCAUAGUGGGUCUUGAAGGGUGACAUGUUGAUUGUGGAAUGGUGGCUCUAGUGUAAUAUAAUUUGGCAAGGUAUAGGCAACCAUUCCUCGAGCAACGUCGUCACCGACAAAGGCAAUCAAUAAGCUUCCAAGAACUAAGAGCUGGUUGCCAACCUCAUUUUGACCAUCAGUUUGGAUAUUGCACACUACUAGAAAACAGCGCUUUAAUGGUGCACAAACAAUGAUAAACGCUGAUAGAGGACGCGCAUUUGUGUGUGCCCUAAAAAAUAAUGCCAGUUUUGCAAAAUUUGAAGGAUAGAGGAUACACAUUUUUGUGCGUCCUGAAAUUAGUGUCCAACAAAAAAAUUAAAAACACUGAGGACACCUAUUCUAAAAUGCGUGUCGUGUUACCCUGUCGCUUUAUAAUUUUAGUCUACGAGCGCGCGUUUUCUUUUUUUAAUAGCCAGUGGGAAAUGAAAUCAAAAAAAUUAAAAACCCCGCAUGUUGUCCUUCCACAGGAACGCUCACCUCACCUCAUUCCAUAGAAACGCUCACCUCAUCAGACUCACCUCUCUCUCUCUCUCUCUCUCUCUCUCUCUCUCUCCCUCUCCUCUAUGGUGCAUACCACCACUAUCUUGUACCAUAACCAUGGUCGUCGCACCUACAUCUCACCACCUGCAACCUCAACAUAAUCGACCAUCACCGCCAUUCCUACCAUCCAUCGCCACCCUACCAUAUUCUCCAUCACCACCUCUUUCUUGUUCCAUGUGAAACCUUAAAAUCGGUGACAACAACUAAUAGGGUUUGGUGAAAAAGUUGAACUAAUAGGGUUUCUGAAUUUCGAGUAUUAUGCACACAAAUGUCAGAAGAAAUAUGGUCAACCAACUCACAUAUGGUCCGAUUCCGAUUCUUAAAGCCCUCAACUCUGAUUUACAUGUGAUCAAGGCUGGAAAGUUUCAUCUAUUGGUUUUGCUAGCUUUGGGAAUCCCAAAGGGGAUUGUGGUGCUGGAUUUAGUCAAGGAAUUUGUCAUAUCGACGUCAUAACAAUUGCCUCCGUCUCAAGUUGUUGCUCAUAUGUCUACUUCUACACUCAACACUUACAUAUAUUUCAAGUCAUCAUCAUCUUCCUCAAUGCAAGGUAUUUUUCCCAAACCACUAGUUUCUAAACAUAUUUUUUGAAUGGAUUCAUCUCCCUCGCCGUCCCUUGGUCGUGUAUCCCAUGCUCAUGAGUAAUGAUUUGUUCAUGUUUAACAUGUCACAUGUGACUAUUAUGACUUACGAGUACGUAUGCUGUGGUUUAUUUCGGUUAUUGGACAAACCAACCUAUAAUAAUUACAAUUGGUUAAUGCAUUUCAAUUAAAAGUUUUUGUUAUUGGGUAACAUGGUUGACCAUAAUGAUUGACAAAUUCCACAAAAAAUAAAAAGUACAUUUCUAUAAAAAUGAAAAAACAAAAAGUAGAUUGUCAAAAAAUUAAAAUGAAAAUUAAAAAGUACUAUGUAGUCAAAUAUAUACUAAAUGGAUAUUAAAUAUUAUCUUACUGAUUUUUAAAUAAAUAACUAUGUUAUAAUAUUUUUUAUUAGUUACAUAAUCUUAUCCACCAAUCAAAAUUUUUUAUGUAUGAAGAACAGAACGUACACUUUUAUCUUAAAUAGCUAAUUUAAUGGAAUUUUAAAUUUCGUUAUUUGACAUUAUUUGUUUAAUAUUUAUCUUUAAAUUACAAUUAAUAUACAAUUAAAUAUAAGAUUUCAGUUCGGUUUAUAAUGUUUCAAUUUCCGUAUAAAACCAUAACCGAUAUAACAUAAAGAAAAAAAAAACAAAGAACAAAACCCAACAGUUGGUUUUAAAAACGGUUUAGUUUUUAUGGUUCGGUUGCAUUGGUUAAUUUAGUUCUAGUUAGGUCUUUCUUUUCGGUUAUUAUGCUCAAGCUAGCGGCUAUGAUAGAAAAAUUACCCCUCCAUGAGUAGACUUCAAGAAGCAAUUAGCAAAAAGCUGUGAACAUAGAGGAAUUUAUGGUUCGUCUCUGUACUGAAAAAGACGAAAAGAAAAAAAUAUCUAAAUAGUAGCUACCCGUCUACUUUGGCAAAGGAAACCUUUUUUUAUUAUUGUAAAUAUUGUUUGCAUAAAUCAACCCACGUUUUUAAUAAAAUAAUUUGUUCUGUUGAAAUACAUUUGUAAAUUUGGUGAUUGAGAUGUCGUGUUCUUCCCAUGCAAUAGCAGUCGAUUAUAUACAAAUUUGAAAAGUAAAUAGCAAAUCACUAAAUGCAUAUACACUCUCCAUGGGCUAAAUCUAUUUUAAAUUCAUGGUUUGCAGAUCCGCCAGAGAUAAUAUAAUUUCAUUCGACUUUAUUAAAUUGACCUCGCAUGAAUUACUAAAACAUUCUAACUCUGUACAUGAUGAUGCUACUUUAAUUAAUCGAUUUUACAAGCAAUAUUAUCCUAAAACAUAGAUCAUCGAGAUCCAUAUGAGUAAUAUUCAUCAUCGUGAGUUCCUUCAUCAAAAUUCAGUGAGUAACUAACAGCAUCAUACUGGAAUAUCAAAGUCUUUGAAGAUCCGUAUAUGUUUUUUUUGCUUCCUUCAAUCACCUUCUUCAUGAGCUUCCUCCAAUUACGACUCCAGCGUACACUGCCACUGUUAAUUUGUGUGCAAUCUUCUUGAUCGGAGUGUGAAGAAGUCGACGUACAGUCAGAAACGUUAGAUAAUCGUCCUUCAAUGUACGCGCUGCAGGUAAGGUUAAUUGUGGUGGCCAUCUUUUUUGGAGAGAGAAGAGUUCUUGUUUGUUGUGAAUUGUGAAUUGUGAAUUCAUGAAUGGAAGUUUAAUUAGUGGAAGACGAGACUUUAUAGUUGGUGUAGACUGAGAUUGUGUAGUGUAGCUUUAAAUCUGAGGUGGGACUCUGUAAUAUUUUGACUUGAUAUCUUCAACCAUUAUUCUAAUUUUUCUUUUGUAAUGGAUUUUUAAAUAUGCCGACACCCGACAAUAUUUUUUUCAAGACCAUUUAAUAAGUAUCGUUGUAUUAAAACUGUUAUCCUAAAGCUUCUACUAUAAUUAACAAAAGAACAUAGAGUGACCUGAAAGAUGUGUUCUCUUCGGUUUUUAGUCCGUGUGCAUACUCUAUAUGUUCCAAGGGAAAUUUCGCUUUAAAUUUACAUCAUCUUUUACUCUUGACACAAGCAGAAAACAAAUCGUUUGAUCUUUUCUUAGAACGUAACUUUUAUAAAAGACAGAAACAAAAAGAUCAUUUGCCUUCGUCUUUUUCUUUUGAUGUCAUUGUUUGCCAAUUAUCCACUCAGAAUACAAGAGUGUUGAUUUUAUUUAUGUAUGCAACUUUAUUCUUUAACUUUUGAUGUCAUUGUUUGCCAAUUAUCCACUCAGAAUACAAAAGUGUUGAUUUUAUUUAUGUAUGCAACUUUAUUCUUCGAAUAUCCAAGGAAUCAGUUGGCUUCAAAAAGAUUAAGAGCAUAUCCCAUGAUUUCACAUGGGGAAGUGGUAUGCCUUUCUGAUUUUUUUGGUUUUGGUUUUGAUUUUUUUUUAAUUUUAUUUUAUUAUUAUAUUUUUUUGCAAUAAAUGUAAGUGGAGUUUUUGGUUUUGAUUAUUUUUUCAUACCGAUUUAAUUUUCGGUUGUAUGUGUAUUGAUUAUUUUUUUCGUACUGAUUUAAUUUUCGAUUGUAUGUGUAUUUUAUAUAUAAAUAUAUCUCACGUACACAUGCACGAUUGACACUAAAAUUUACUUUGGAUGCCUUUGUCUUCCUCCUCGCACUAUUGUUGCCUUCAAUAUUCUAUCACAUUAAUAUCCACGUGGUAACACCAUGUUCCACUUGGUUAAUCUCCUAAAAAAACAAAUAGAAGAAACAAGAAGGAUUGGAGCAAUUUUCUUAUAAUAGUUCCACCUGCAACCACAUGAAUUAAAUUAUGCAGUUAGGUUCUAAAAUUAAGCAAAAUUGUAGGGAAACAUGGAUGGACUUAUUCAACUCUUAUAAAAUUGUGCUUGACUCUUUCUUUUUCUUGUGCCGUUCUCGUGCAUAGUUAUUCCCUAUAACAGUAUGGCACUUAAUUCUCAAGUGUGCCCUAUUAGUAAAAACGGGUUGGUCCAUUUGAAAAUGGAUUUGGGCCUGAAGGUCAACAUGUGUUGUAUAAAUGUCAUCUCCCUUACAAUUGACCUCUUCCUUGAGGUCAAAGUCUAGAAAACGGAAUUCAAUUUCAUGUUUUCACUCCUAAGCGGCUUCUGAGAGAGGCUUGUUACUCAUUUAUUGAGGACGUCAUGAUCAUGUUGUGUAUGUUCUUUUUUUAGAUGGAGUUGGUAUUUAUAGUCAUCAUCUUCCAUGAUUGGAAAAUUGGUUGUCUAUAUUGUACUUGAAUUGGAACCCAAUAUUUGAAUGUGAAAACGGGGGAGAUUGGUGCUUGAGGAGCUAACUCGGAACGGUAUGAAACCUGAUCAAAUUUCUCCAAGAUUUUAAAUUGCUCUAAAAACGUUUUGCAUGUUUAUAGUUAACACGGCUUUCCAUAGAAGAUUUGUAGUAGUUACGCAGCUUUAAAUAAACAAAAAUCGCCCAUAUUGAAGCUCUUAUCUAGAUGGUGUUUGUUGGCUUGAGUGGUAAUUUUUUCUUGGACCUAGAUAAAGCCUCUUUGGUCAGCACGAUCACCUGUUGAUGUGUGAUGAAGGUGUCGUCAACAGAAGCAAAAAUAGAGUUAUCGGGUUCGCAUUCAUCAAUGGCAGUGGCGUCCUUGCCAUAGUAGGCCUUGAAGGUUGACAUGUUGAUUGUGGAAUGGUGGCUAUAGUGUAACAUAAUUCGUCACUAACAAAGGUAUAUCAAUAAGUUUCCAAGAACUAAGAACCGGUUGCCAACCUCAUUUUGACCAUCGGUUUGGAUAUCGUAGUCACUUGAAUGUAAUACAUGGGUUCCCAAUGGUUUAAAAAUUAGUUAGAAAAUAAUGGAUCAUGAUAUAAAAUGAAAGAAUUUGGAACCACAUGCAGUCCAUAAGCUUUUAUGAAAAAAGGAAGCACUGAAUUGAGUUGGAAAUGGUAGGAAAUGGGCGAGUUAGUAAGUCGAUCGAUAAUGACCGAUAUGGUGAUGUUUCCGUUUGACAAGGGAAGCAGGACCGAUCCAAACAUAUAUUGGGUCCGGGGCAAAAUGAAAAAAAGGGUCCCUUAAAGUCAUAAAUUUAGUAAAGAUUAAUUCAAAAAUAGACAUAUUGUUACAAAAUUCACUAGUUAUAUUACAAACAUAAAUAUGGCAGAAACAUUACAAAAACAAUUAUUUAAAAAAAAAAAAGAUACUUCUCCUGUAUUUUUUAGAUGCAAUAUCAUUGAUAAUAUUAUCAUAAUCAAUUUUAUCUAUCAUAUCUUUCCUUUUAUAUAUAUUAUACAUCCCAGGAAUUUUGGCCCCCUAGAAACAUGGCUCUUGGGAGACCGCCCGAGUUGCCCACCAUCUGGACCGGGCUUGGGGAAAGUGUGUUAUAAAAUAUAUGAAAAUAUCUACUAUGGAUUUAUGGUGUUAGUAAUGGUAUAAGAAGGCCACAUGGUUUUUGUAAAGAGCUUUAGUGUGUUUUAGUAAUGGUAUGAGUAGGCUACAUUGUUUUUCAAAUGUAGCUAAAAAAUGAGAUGAUAAAAGUGAAUAUCCUAUAAAAGUGACAAAUGAAUUUUAGGAACAUUAGGGAUAAAGAGUUGUCCCUGAUUCUACACCAAGCUGCGCAAAAACCGAAAUUACUUUCUUGCUCCCCGAUGUUGUUGAUAAUCUUCCGACUCUCUAGACCAUCGCCUAAAUGCUUACGAAUAUCAUUUAGCCAAGUAGCAGUAUGAUUUGAAAUGGCGAACAUCAGGUCAUGAUCAAUAUGUCUUAUUGCAUCGACAACUUUAUUCUCUUUUCCCGGUUUAUGGUGAAGCUCAAAAUUAUACAACAAAAGUUUCGUGUUUAAUUUUGUUCAUCGAUGUUUGAAUGACCUUCAUGAGUAGGUGUGUAACAUUGUGGUGAUCGGUAAAAAUGCUGGACUUCCGAAGAAGUAGACAUUGUAUCCAUUUUCUUAAUGCUUCGUUAAAUGUGUAUAGCUCACGAACUUAGGUGGAUUAGGCUUGCAUGAGACGGCACAUUUCUUUGCUAAAAUAAGAAAUGGGUCGGUGUCGUAGCAUAGUACCAUACAAUAGUGUAUCCGGAUGAAUCCAUAGGGACAUCAAACAAAACGGAGACGUAUGAUGGUGCAAAGACAAGGAUGGAGACCAUGGCUACCUUGUGGUUAUGGGAGUAGAUGGAUCUUAUGUACAAAACAAAGGAAAUCAGGAACAUAAAAUUUAAGGUUUCAAAAAGUACCUAAAGAAUAAACACACAUACCAUGAUGAGUCAACUAUUCUCAUGAUUGUUCUCCAUGAUAUCCGUUUAGGGAAUUACCUUAAGUGAGAUAUGUCACAUGUGAAUAUUAUGGGUACGUAUGUUGUGGUUUAGUUCGGUUAUCGGACAAAACAACCCCGAAUAAUUACAAUCGGUUAAUGCAUUUCAAUUAAAGGUUUUUGUUAUUGGGUAUCAUCGGUUGACCAUAAUCAUUGACAAAUUCCACAAAAAAUAAAAAGUACAUUUCUAUAAAAAUGAAAAAACAAAAAGUAGAUUGUCCAAAAAUUACAAUUAGACAAAAUUGCAAGAAUGGUCCCUGUGGUAUGUCAAAACUAGCACCUUUGGUCCAAAAUGGGUUUGGCUUGCAAGGAUGGUCCAAUAGUUCCGUUUUGUUGCGAGUUUGGUCCAAUUUCCUAUGGACUUUUUUAUAAUGACGGAUUUGCUCUUAUAUUUUAAUUUUCCAUUUUAUUUUAUUAUCAAUAAUUAAAAAGCAAUUAAAAAUAAAACAAAAAUAAAAUACUCUCUCUCCCUCUCUCUCUUCCUCUUUCUCUCUUUCUCUCUCUAUCUCUCUCUCUCUACAAACAGAAUUAAUACAGAUCUGGUAGUGGAUUUGUAAAAUGCAGAACCCUAACUUUUAUCAAUUUUUUUCAAGUCAUUGUAUAAAGUCGAAUAGACUAAACACAUACACACUCAUAUAUGCAUAUGAAUAUCAAGAACACUCGGUUUUUCCUGAGUUCAAGAACAAGAACAUCAUAUUCACAAACUAAGAAAUCGAUUUCUGAUGAACUGCCAUCACCACCAUCGGAAUCAAUUUCUUCUAUGAAUUGCCCAACUCAAACCCAUAAGCACACAAACAACUCAAUAAACAUAAAGAUGAAGGUAAACUGCACCCCUUUUAUCCCCCUCCCUGAAUCACAGACACCGUAUACCCUAAAUCAGUACAGGUUAAAGAGAUUACGAUUUACAGAUGAAAGGGGUUACAAUUUACAACCUAUAAAUUUUUGUGUCCUUUCCAAUUAUUGAAUCAAAUGCCAAUCAUGUCCCUCUCUCUCUUGUUCUUCUCUGAAUCGGUGUUUGAAUCAAAUACCAAUCAUAUCCCUCUCUCUUUGUUCUUCUCGUCACUGCUACAUCCCAUCACCAUGCUCGUCGCAUUCAGAUAUGUUCAUUCUAUAGCUAGAGGAUCCGGCGGUGGUGUGGAGAUGUAACCCAGAUCGAUGACCCCCUUAAUCGAUGACAACUACCUCGUCGGAGGCAUAACAGCCGAGGAAAAUUGAUCCGAGGUGUCUUCCCCUCGAUUUCCUGUCGCGAAACCCUUCAUCUGAAAACCCUAGCCGCCAAGAAACCCUAAUCGUCAAGAAACCCAAACUUCAGAUCUCGAUCUCCUUUCUCUCGUUGGCAUCUGUCUAGGUUCAAAGGGAGGGUAGCAACGAUCGAAUCAGGUGUUUGGGGGUGGUGCUACCUGACCGGAGGGAGGGGGAGGGGCAGCCUAGGCCGGUGACAACCACUCGUUCUUCUUCUUUGGACAGUAAUAAGCAAGAAACGAGAGAGAGAGAGAGAGAGAGAGAGAGAGAGAGAGAGGGUCUUUUAUUUUAUUUUGUUUUAUUUUUAAUUAUUUUUAAUUUUUUGUAAUAAANUUAUUUUGUUUUAUUUUUAAUUAUUUUUAAUUUUUGGUAAUAAAACAAAAAUGAAAAAUUAAAUAAUAAGGGCAAAAUCGUCUUUCCAAAAGAAUUCAAACCAAAUUGGACCAAACUUGCAAGAAAAUGAAACUUUUGGACCAUUGAUGCUAGCCAAAACCGUUUUGGCCCGAACAUGCUAGUUUUGACAUACCACAGGGACCAUUUUUGCAAUUUUGUCUUACAAUUAAAAUCAAAAAGUACUAUGUUGUUAACUUAGUUGUAUUCUUCCUGCUAUUAAUUUAGACACCUCAAAACCACCAUACAAUUCCACCCAACUUCUUAAAAUAUUUUGUAGCCGUCGACAAAGUUAGUCAAAUAUAUGCUCAAUAGAUAUUAAAUAUUAACAUAUUUGUUUUAAAUAAAUAAAUAUAUUAUAAUAAUUUAUAUUAGAUACUUAAUCUUGUCCACCAACCAAAACUUUGUAUGUAUGAAGAACAUAACGUACACUUUUUUCUUAAAUAGAUAAUAUAAUGGAAUUUUUAAUUUCGUUAUUUGACACUAUUUAUUUACUAUUUAUACUUAAAUUACAAUUUAUAUACGAUUAAAUAUAAGAUUUCGGUUCGGUUUAUAAUGUCUCAAUUUCCAUAUAAAACCAUAGCCGAGAAAAGAAAACAAAAAAAAAUAAAAAAUAAAAAAUAAAAAAAUAAAAAAAAAAAACCGGAACAGUUGGUUUUAAAAACGGUUUGGUUUUUAUGGUUCGACUGUAUCAGUUAAUUUAGUUCUAAUUCGGUCUUUCUUUUCGUUUAUUAUGCUCACCCUACCGGCUAUGAUUGAAAAAUCAUCCCUCCAUGAGUAUAUUUCAAGAAGUAAUUAGCAAAAAGCUAUGAACAUAGAGGAAUUUGUGGUUCGUCUGUAUAUUGAAAAACACGAAAAGAAAAAAGAUCUAAAUAGUAGCUACUGGUCUGCUUUGGCAAAGGAAACCUUUUUUUUAUUACUAUAAAUAUUGUAUGCAUAAAUCAACCCAAGUUUUUAAUAAAAUAAUUUCUUCUGUUCAAACAAUUUUGUAAAUUUGGUGAUUGAAAUGUCGUGUUCUUCCGAUAAAAUAGCAGUCGACUAUAUACAAAUUUGCAGAGUAAAUAAGCAAAUCACUAAAUGCAUAUACACUCUCCAUGGGCUAAAUCUAUUUUAAAUUCAUCCUUUGAAGAUCUGCCAAAGAUAAUAUAAAUUCAUUCGCCUUUAUAAAAUUGACCUCACAAGAAUUACUAACACAUUCUAACUCUGUACAUGAUGAUGCUACUUUAAUUAAUCGAACUUACAAGCAAUAUUAUCCUAAAACAUACAUCAUCGAGAUCCAUAUGAAUAAUAUUCAUCAUCGUGAGUUCCCUCAUCAAAAUUCAGUGAGUAACUAACAGCAUCAUACUGGAAUAUCAAAGGCUUUGAAGAUCCGUAUAUGCUUUUUUUGCUUCCUUCAAUCACCUUCUUCAUGAGCUUCCUCCAAUUAUGACUCCGGCGUACACUGCCACUGUUAAUUUGUGUGCAGUCUUCCUGAUCGGAGAGUGAAGAAGUCGACGUACAGUCAGAAACGUUAGAUAAUCGUCCUUCAAUGGAAGCGCUGCAGGUAAGGUUAAUUGUGGUGGCCAUCUUUUUUGGAGAGAGAAGAGUUCUUGUUUGUUGUGAAUUG
rnacentral:lncRNA from 1 species